rnacentral:rRNA from 1 species
UACGAAGGGGGCUAGCGUUGUUCGGAUUUACUGGGCGUAAAGCGCACGUAGGCGGAUCGUUAAGUCGGGGGUGAAAUCCUGGAGCUCAACUCCAGAACUGCCUUCGAUACUGGCGAUCUUGAGUCCGGAAGAGGUGAGUGGAACUCCUAGUGUAGAGGUGGAAUUCGUAGAUAUUAGGAAGAACACCAGUGGCGAAGGCGGCUCGCUGGUCCGGUACUGACGCUGAGGUGCGAAAGCAUGGGGAGCGAACAGG